rnacentral:rRNA from 1 species
GAGUAGUAAGAGUUAAGAUCUUUAAACUCAAAAAAUUUGGCGGUAUUUUAUCUUAUCAGAGGAACCUGUUUAUUAAUUGAUAUUCCACAACUUUAAUUUACCUUGACGAGAUUAUUUGUAUACCGCUGUCAUGAAUCUACUUAAAAGUAAUUUUCGGGAUUUUUUAUGAAAGUCAUGUUAGGUCAAGGUGCAGUUUGUGUUGGUUCAAAAUGGGUUACUUUAUUUAUUAUGAAUGGAUUAUUAUUAUUGUUAAAUUAUGAAAAUGGAUUUGUAAGUAAAAAGAUUAUUAAAGAUUUUAUAUGAAUAAAGAUUCUAAAAUAUG